rnacentral:rRNA from 1 species
UACGGGGGGGGCAAGCGUUGUUCGGAAUUACUGGGCGUAAAGGGCUCGUAGGCGGCCAACUAAGUCAGACGUGAAAAUCCCUCGGCUUAACCGGGGAACUGCGUCUGAUACUGGAUGGCUUGAGAUUAGGAGAGGGAUGCGGAAUUCCAGGUGUAGCGGUGAAAUGCGUAGAUAUCUGGAGGAACACCGGUGGCGAAGGCGGCAUCCUGGACCAACACUGACGCUGAGUGAGCGAAAGCCAGGGGAGCAAACGGG